AGCGAACGUUUGCGGCGGGCCUAACACAUGCAAGUCGAACGCACUAGCAAUAGUGAGUGGCGCACGGGUGCGUAACACGUGGGUAAUCAACCCUUCAGCCUGGGAUAACGACUCGAAAGGGUCGCUAAUACCGGAUACGGCGCGAGAGGCUUCGGCUUCUCACGAGAAAGCCACGCAAGGGGCACUGAAGGACGAGCCUGCGGCCCAUCAGCUAGUUGGUGAGGUAAGAGCUCACCAAGGCUAAGACGGGUAGCUGGUCUGAGAGGAUGAUCAGCCACACUGGAACUGAGACACGGUCCAGACUCCUACGGGAGGCAGCAGUGGGGAAUUUUGGACAAUGGGCGCAAGCCUGAUCCAGCCAUGCCGCGUGAGUGAAGAAGGCCUCGGUUGUAAGAC
rnacentral:rRNA from 1 species